rnacentral:rRNA from 1 species
UACGAAGGGGGCUAGCGUUGUUCGGAAUUACUGGGCGUAAAGCGUGCGCAGGCGGCUUCUCAAGUCAGGGGUGAAAGCCCAGAGCUCAACUCUGGAAUUGCCUUUGAGACUGAGUGGCUUGAGUACGAGAGAGGUGAGUGGAAUUCCCAGUGUAGAGGUGAAAUUCGUAGAUAUUGGGAAGAACACCGGUGGCGAAGGCGGCUCACUGGCCCGGUACUGACGCUGAGGCACGAAAGCGUGGGGAGCAAACAGG